rnacentral:rRNA from 1 species
CGGCGGACGGGUGAGUAACGCGUGGGUAACCUGCCUCAUACAGGGGGAUAACGGUUAGAAAUGACUGCUAAUACCGCAUAAGACCACAGCACCGCAUGGUGCGGGGGUAAAAACUCCGGUGGUAUGAGAUGGACCCGCGUCUGAUUAGCUGGUUGGUAAGGUAACGGCUUACCAAGGCGACGAUCAGUAGCCGACCUGAGAGGGUGACCGGCCACAUUGGGACUGAGACACGGCCCAA